rnacentral:lncRNA from 1 species
CCGAUCUCCAUCUUUCGACCAAAGCAUUGAUCAGUGGGGGAUUGAAUUUAGUCCACCGAGCAUUUGAGUCACGUUUAAAAAUCAUGUGUCUCGCAAGUGUCCAUAAAUGACAUUCAAUGCACCUUUGCUUAAAUUGUUUAUGUACAUCUCCAAAAUCUGACAUUUGAGUUGAAUAUAAAAACAUAAAAAAAAUCUAAAUAUCAUAAUAAUUAACUAUUUAAAAUUAAAUAAUUUAUUAAUAUUUUCUUACCAUUUGUAAUUGAAUGUCGGAGAUAUGUUUGUCAUUCAAACAAAUAAGUUGAUUUGCUAUUUAAAAAUUAUAACGAAUAAAAUAAAAUUGAAGAGAAUAAAAUUCAAAAAAAGAAUUAAAAAAUCAUUAAGAAUUGAGAAUUGAUGAAUUUAGGAUAGCGGAAUGAGUAUUGAGUAUUUUUGGUUGAAAAAAAAUGAAGUUUAAAGAGGUUUGUAUUGGAAAAAUUAUGGCUGUUGAAAUCAUUUUAGCCAUUGGAAAAGUUACAGUUGGAAUAAUUACCGUAGGACGCGUUUUUAUUCUUUCUUUUGAAAACGCGUCUUACAGGAUGCGUUUUCAUUAAUGUGACAAUGAAAACUUUUUUCUUUCUCCAAAAAUAAACUAUAUCGAUAAAUUUAAAAAAAAAACUUUCUCAAUUUGUUUUUCAGCAUAUUCUUAUUAUUCUGCCUAUAAAUAUAUCUUAAUCAUUUAAAAAAUUAUGUUUACAUAAGGGGUUUUUAAACCAAUAAAAAUAUUAUCGAAAAAUUUAAAACAUAAUAGUAUUUUAAAAAAUGAAUAAUAUUAUCAACAUAUACCAUCCUAAAAUUUAAUAAAUUGUAAUCUGCGCAAACAAUCAACCUAUAAGUUUUAGAAUUUGUUAUGGGUUAGGCCUGAUGAGAUUAGGCCAGGCUUAGUUACAGCUCAAUUCCGUCUAAAUUUUGGGUUUUCUUAUAUCUUGAGCUCCAACCCUAAUUGCAAAAAGGUCGGGAGGUUGACCUCUCUCAUCUUUUCUGUACGCCAAUCCUUUUACAGUAACAACAUUUUUGAUUCACUAGAAUAGAAUCAAAUUAUAGUGAAAUGGUCCUUCUGUAAAAAUAGAAUAGGAUUAUAAUUAAAUUAAUUAGGCAUAAUAAUAAUUUGUUGGACGGAAUUUAAUGAAUCAUUGUUUUUAUUUUUAUAAAAAUAUUAAAAAACUAAAAAUCUUAAAUGUCGAAAUGAUAAAUAUACCCUUUAAUUUUUUUAUAAAAAUAUAAAAAUUAUUAAGAAAACCCAAAACUUUAAAUGUUGAAACUGCAAAUAUACCCAAUCAAUCACACUCUUGAAGCAAAUUAAUGUUUAAAUUCCCAAAAUAUAUCAUGUUUUAACAUGGCUCUUAAAAUGUAUAAUUUAACUCUUCCCCUUUUAAAUUUUACAAUAUUUUAAUUUAGUAAAGUUAAAAGCACAUUUUGUCUCCCAAAAACGAUAAAAUUUUUAUUUAUUCUUUUAAAAACUAUAAAUAUGUAAACUAUUAAAAUUGUAAAAUUGUAUUUCAACUCUCAUAAAAAUAUACAACCAUGAAAAGUUUUUGACUUCGUCCUUGUGUUUUAACAUUGUAUUGCAUAUGCUAUUAACUUCAACGACAUGUUUAGUUUACAAGAAUUAAAUAGUUAUGAGGUGAGAAUUAAAUAUAUUUAAGAAAUUAUUUGCAAAUGUAAUUAAACAGUCAUCUUUUAAAUUUAAUGGAAACUUAUAUAAUGAAAAAUAUUAUAUAGUAUUUAAUGUUAAAAUAAUUUGCUUUUAGCCUGGUUAUUAAUAUGUUUUUUUUUUUUUUAAACAUUUUUCUCCCCCACAAUCAUCUCCUCUCUCUCACAGUCUCGGUCUCAGUCUCUUGGUCCAGAUUCAAAAAGCAGAAAAAUAAAAACCCAAAAUUCAGCCUUCUUCCGUCACCUCCAUCGUCGUCUACUACCACCCAUGAACACUAAACAUCACUUCAUCUCUUCCCACUUCUGGAACUCAAAAUCUCACCAAUCUCUUCUUCAUUUUUUUUUAUGUUUUCUUUUCAUGCGAUAUGAUUUGUCGGCAUAUGUUAGUUGAUUUUAUUUCUUUAAUUUUGGAGUUUUAGAUGAUUUUCUAAUUUAGGUAAAAAUAUAUAUAUUUCGAAUAAUCACCAAAUAACCUAUUAAGAGACGGUGUGUCAGAUGGUAAUUACUAGACUCUGUCACUUAGUCCUGCUGAAUGACCAUUCAACCAACCAAACAUUUGCUUCACUAUGGCGGGUUGAAUACACCCGAAAUGACUUGGCUAUUUAAGUGAAUUAAAUAUAUUGUAAUAUUCCUUAAUUAAUACAAUUAUGUUAAGUUAUUGAUAUUUAUUUGUAAUUCAUUUAUUGAUUUUUAUUUUAAUUAAUGAUGAAUUAUUAUUUUUGGGUGAAAAUUUAUCAUUUUAUUAUACAUGGAUAGCACAUGAAAUUCGUAACUUAAUAAUAUAUUAAAUAUUAUUCUUUAAUUUUUUAGAGAUAAUGAUAUAUUUGUCCCUUAAACUUUGAUUAAUCUUUUAAUGUGGUAUCUGUAUUUUUACGUUGUUAAUCAAUCCAAAAUUUCUAAGUGACGGUGUUAACUUUUGAUUUGUCUCGAUAUGUGACCCAAUUAUAAAAUCUCACGUGUUACUUUUUUAUUAAAAAAAUCCAAAUAAUGAGAGGGACCUCAAGUUAGUUAACCCCAUUUGUCUUCAUUUCCUUUUUCUUUAUUUCUUUUAUUUUCUGAAAAAAAACCCUCCAUUUCUCUGACUUUUUAUUUUCACUGCUAUAUUUUUUUAUAUUUCCUCAUUUCCUCAGCUAAUUUGGAUAUUAGUUUGUUUUAUUUAUUACAUUUUUUUCUCAUUCUUUGUUAUUGAUAUUCUGAAUCUUAUUAAUUUCACUUCUAAAUUUAAAUUAAAUAUUACUUUCAAAUUCAACAAUAAAACUGUGAAAAUUGAACGUCGAUAAUGACAAUAAGUCGCAAAGAAAAAGAGAAAAUAGAACACACAGAAUUUUAUGUGGAAACUAUAUCGGGAAAAAAACCAUUGGCGGAGAAGAAGAAAAUUCACUAUGUCAAAUUCAAAUGAUACAAGAGGAGUAUAGACUAUGUCUAUUUAUAGGUUUGUAAAACUAUAUUCUAAUCAAAAUCUAAUAAAAGUAAUGCAGUAAGGUUAAAACACUAUUAGCCCUCAGCUUUGGCCCUCACAGAUCCCCUAUCUUAUCACUUGUAUUUUAUUUAAAUAGGUAUUUGAGUCACACAACUCUAACAAAAACAUAUUUCAACUAAAUCAAAUUAAAAAAAAGAAAUACUUCACGUAUAUAUAUUGACAACAAAUCUCAGUCCUUUAUGAUUCAACAGAAAAUUUUAUCUCCAAAAUGAACACAAAUUCAAAGAAAAAUACAGCCAUGAAAGAUAUACAAAUUUCAUCCUGUAGAUGGAAAUGGUGAGGACAACCAAACCAUGUUCCAACUCAAUUGUAAAGUUAUAAAAUUCUAAAAAAAAUACCUACAUUUAAUAAAAUUUGAACUCAAAAUAUUAUAAUAUUUUUUAAUAAAAAUCAAAAUAUCCCAAUGUUACCAAUUUAAGUUAAAUAUUUUAAAAAAUGAUUACCACUAUACAUAACAUUAUUGUUAGAAUGGACCAAUUGGUCUAAGCCCUUAUUUUGUAGGCUUGUAUUUGGCAAUUACCAAACUCAUGUGGAGAAUUCCAUGUUCUCUUUGCCAAUUAAAGUGAUCCAAAAGGGACCAUACCUUUAAAGAAAAGGCAAUUAUUCCACACUAAACCCCUAGUUUUUGUUUUGGAAUCAAAUCAAAAAGCUGGAUGGUAAGGGUCAUGUUUCUAUCUAACUUUAUGUCCAAAACAAUCGUUAUUUAAAUUAAAUUUUACAAAUAAUUGCUUUAAAAUAUUUAUUCAUUGAUAUAAAUCAAAAGUUUACAAACCAAAGAAGCAACAAAAGAAAAUCUAAAUCCAUUUUCUUUAUUGGUAAUAUCACAAUAACUAAUUCUUUUCCCCUGCAAUACUUGAGUUGCUGAUGAAUUUUAUUUAAAUAACAGUCACAAUCAUACAAAUUUAUUUUAAACUUAUGUAAUCUAUUUAAAAUUUGAUAAAGACAUUUAUUUUGAGCUUUGAAAAUUUUUAAAAUUUCAAAUUUCUUAAACUUUAAAAUGCAUAAAACUUUUGACAAUUUAAUCUUUUUAUAAAAUUUAUUUUUUUUAUUUUUUGAGCAUUAAAUAGAAUUUUUUUUUAAAAAUAGUUUUAAAAUUUUUAAGAAGUUUCAAAAAAUUCAUAUAAAAAUUUUAUUUCAAAUAUUUGUUAAAACAAUUUAGUUUUAAUAUUAUUGAUAAAAUGAUAUUUCAAUUUUAAUUUUUAAUAAUAAUUUUUUCUACAUGUUAGAUUUUAAAAAAUAUAAUAGGUUUGCAAAAACAUUUAAAAUGUAACACCCUAUAUCCGACCCUAUCGUCGGGUCUGAGCUACGAUGUGUUACAUUCGUUGCUAAAGCAACUAAUGUUAUAAUAAACACGAUUCAAACCAUUUAACAUUCAAAUACAAACAUCAUAAGCAAACAAUAUGAUAAGUAAACAUUCCCGGGUCUUAUGCAAGUUUAUGGAAGCUUUAAGUUUAACCCGAGAUAGAAUCAGGACAAAAUUGCAAAAGUUUCAAAAUACAGAAUUGACAUCACAACGUGAGGGAGUUUCUCAUCACGAUGUGACAAACUGUUUGAUUUUGUCCAGACGACGGGGUUCCUCGUCUCGCCGUGACAUUAUAAGCAUUUUCUCGUCACAACAUCACAUACUGUUUCUAUAAUUUUAUAAUGAUUGUCAACUUGCAAUUUUCCAACCAAGUUUCUAAACGGAUUCAAACUUUAACCAACCAAUAUUUGCAACUAUAUAGCCUUAAUUCCUGCAACUUAAUACCUUAUACAAUAUUAGGCCAAUACAUUAUCACCUACAAGCCAUUUACCUAUUGCAAACCAUUUAAAUCAUUUACAUACUUACCUAUUUCACCAACUACAUAGAUAUUUAUUUGCAACAUUUCAUACCAAUUCAAACUACCUUUAAUUCCAUUACAAGCCAUAUUAGGUCCGUUUUCUAGGCCUGGGCUCGGCCUGACCCGAAAUAUAGGCCUAAAAAUUUGUCCAAACCCGGCUCAAAAGAAAAUUGAUAAGCCCGAGCUCAACUCGGCCCGGCCCAUAUUAAAUUUUACAACACCAAAAUAGUAUAAAAAACCUGCAAAAUUUUAGGGAUUUUGAAGCUUGAUUUUGGAAUUGGGAAAAAAGAGAGGGCACGAUCUGAUGACGAAAGUGAAACAUGAAAGUUAAAAAGUAUAUUUGAUUAAAAAUAAAAAAUAUAUAUUUAAUAUAUAAUUCGGGUUGGGGCCGGGCCCAGGCCAAAAAAGUUUUACUUGAGGCCCGACCCAUUUUCUAAACAGGCCUCAUUUUUUACCCAAACACAUAUUCCAGGCCUAUAUUUUUAUCCGCCUCCCAUUUUUCGGGCGGGCCAUCAGGCCUGGCCGGGUAGCCCCAACCCAUGAUCACCUCUACUUUCAACCAAAUUCUAACAUUAACCAUUAAACCAUAAGUGCAUAUACACAUAACUUUAUAUACCAAACUUGACUCAACCUAGGUACAUGCCUUAUAACCAGCAAAAGAGAUUUAUACAAACAUUUUCGAGUUCGGGAUCUUGAUUGGAUGCUGAAGUCAGUACUCAGGAAUCUCGUUUGGGACCUAACCUACACACGGAAAAACAAAUCAUACACUGAGCGAUAAAACUCAGUGGUAUUUCUAUACUUCAAUAUAACAUAAAUGUUAUUCAAAUGUAAAUAAUCAAUUCAAGUCUAUUGUUCAACUAAUUCGUAUACCAAAUUGUAACAUAGACUUAGUGAUCAAUUCAUUUGGUUAUUUCAUAUCUUACUUUCUUGCACCUAUCUAAACAUUUUCCAUACAGACUUCACUUUAUACAUACUUGAUCAUUUAAUAUCACCAUUUAUAAAAGUAACACCCCAAACCCGACCUAGACGUUACGGUCGGUUUAUGAAGGUCACAUCACUAGAUAAAAGAAAGUACUAUUGUUUUGAAGAACCAAUUCCAGCAGGUUAAAACUUCAUUGUCUCGCUUUUUGAAAAAAAAAAUUAAACAUGUCAAAAGAUCAAGUUAAAUUCUCUUAUAAACGUAGCCUGCCAAAAUUAUUUUUAAUGAAAACCUCAAACUUAGUUUGUAGAGACAAUUACUUGAAAACUUAAAGUUUCGUUUUGGUCUCUUUAGGAAGAAUUAUUUAUCACUUAAGCUUUAUUUAAACUAUCCAUUUUAAACCUUGUGAACUAAACAAACAUAAAAUGUCCAAAAAUUAAUAAACCACAAUAGAGUUCGAAAUGUUCGAUUUAAACACAUAGAAUAAUACCAUAAUAUAGUAUAUUAAAAUCAUGAAAUCCGAGUCUCCAGUGACGCCGUCCAAAGCUAAGCUGGGGGAUCGCCUGAAAUAAACAAAAAUGUGAGCUAAUAGCCCAGUGUGCAUUUUGGCCCAAAGUCCAAAAAUCAUACGUCAAUGAUAUAUAUAUAUCAAUCAAUAUAUCACAUAUCGCAUAAAUUUCAGUUUAUUCAUAUCUUAGCACAUUAUAACUUAACAUAAGGUAGUAUUUCAUGCUAGAUCAUAUUAAACAUAUCAUACGUAAUAUAUCUUACCCCCAUCUGCUACACACCAGCACUAUCCAGCCAAUCACACAUGUUGGACUACAUAAGUCCGUCCAUCCAAUCACACCAUGAUGUGGCGGUAUGCCACUCUUAUAAUUGUAGUUGGACUGCCUUACACAUAAUUUUGCGGUCCAGCUACCAUAUUUGUAGUAAAUACUGCUAUAUACACUUCCUCCAAUACAUUAUAUCCCAUCCUAUGCAUAAACAAAACAUACAUAUAUUUUAUACAUAAUAUAAUCAUAAACAGACGACAUGCUCAUGUACAAAAUUCAUUUAUGCAUAACAUAUCUUAUAGUUAAAUUUCAUCAUACAAUGUUUAUCAUGCUUUUAUUGAUACACAUACGAGCUUACAUGUUAAACUUAUGGUUUUUUUUUUACUCUUAUGACAUCCUCAAACCCAAAUAUCGGAUCCUCUAAACGACCCCUAUUUGGGCCCUAAAAUUGGCCAAAAGGCCCACACGAUCGUGUGGCCUACAUGGCCCAAAAGCCUAGCUUGUGUAGUCCACACGGUCUAUAGAAAUGCAUACGGUCGUGUACCUCACACGGCCUACCACACGGCCGUGUGGAAAUUGGGCAGUUUCGUAAUAGCCUAUGUUUUACGAUUUCAUCGAGUUUCAAAGUGAUUUUUUGAGUUGUAUUCACACACCUGAUAUCCAAAUCAAUCUCCCACACGUCCGGAACUCACGAACCCUAAGUUUGUUUAACACAUCACAUCACUUAACCACUAAAAUCCAUCAAAAUUAACAUAUGAUUUGCCAAAAUUCCAGUCUCAAAAAUCAUAAUCGAACUCUUACCACUCGAAAAUAGCAUCCCAGAUGAGUCAAAUUCUGUUGGAAAAACUUGAUUCCCUAAACCUUUGUCUAUCCAAAAACCAUGGAAAAUACUUAACACGAUAUUAAAUAAUGCAAAUACUCAAACUUAAACUCAAACCCCAUUGAAAAACACCCUAGAAAAAUAGAAAAAUAAUAGUCAAUUUACACUUUUGAUGAACCAAAAUUGCAACAAAUCCAACACUAAACCCCUACAUUGAACCAAAAAGGAAAUGCACCCAGAGAACAAAUCAAGAAAGAGUUGAAAGAGAACCCAAAUAUUCAAGAAGAAAAAGAAAGAAAAAAAAAAGAAAAAAGUAGCAAAUGAAGAUGAUGAAAAUUACAAAAGCAGACAUGAGAGCAAGAAAAGAAGAAAUGGGUGGUUACCAAGUUGAGAAAUAAAAGGAAUUUUGAUAAGAUUUAAAUCAAUUAAAACAAAUAGGAUUUAACCACCAGAUUUUUAAUAGACUUCCAAUAGAAUUCAACUUCCAAACAAUAGCCGAAACAAAAAUAAUUUAAACAUGCGCAACACAGGAUUCAAAAACCAAACCUCCCACAUAUAAUCACAAUACCUAUCCACUGAUCCAACUUAAAUUAUUUAACAUUAGAUAACAUACCAUGCUUAUGAAACUAGGGGCGUUACAAUAAACAUAUACUCACGUAUAUAUAUACAUACACAUUCUUUAUUUACAUGUUCAAUUUCAUCUCAUCAAUUCAAUCAUUUUUGAGUCUAUUGUUUCGAAAAUACUCAGUUGAUCCUCAAGGCUCAUUUCUAGCCAAUCUGCAUGGUCUUUCACAUGCUAUCAAAUGUCACAAUUCAUAUAUGAGCAAUUAUACCAGAUCGUUCAUAUUUCAUUUCAAUCAACCAUAUAGCCUAGCCAAAUUAUGUUUAUAUAAUACUAUUAACCUUACUCGGAUUUCAAGAUGGAUAUAUGAAUUAACCAACUUGCAUCCUAAUUUGGCACUGUAGUGCAUCAUCGGAUAAACCAAAGGAAAUAUACACAUUUUGCAUCAUUGGACAAGUCGAAACAAUUAUACUGAUACGCGUAGUGCAUCAUCAAAUAAAUCAGAACAAUUAUACUGGCACACAUAGUGCAUCAUUGAAUAUACUGAAGCAAUUAUGCUAACACAUACAGUGCAUUAUCGGAUAUACCGAAGCAAUUAUACUGGCACACAUAGUGCAUCAUUGGAUAAAUAAAAGUAUAGCCUGUACAUUUAAUAAGUAACCAAUUUGCAAUUUCAUUAUAAGUUCAAUUCAUAUUCUUUCAAUUCGAUUUCAUCAUCAAUUCACCAUUCCAAUACCGUAUAUAACAAAUCUCAACUCAAUUUCAUAUAUCAAGUAAGCCACACAACUUUUUAUUCUAUUCAUUAGUCCUCUAUCUCGAUAUACCAUAUCCAUCAUCUUCAUUUAACUCAUACAAUGUAAUACCCCCUACUCGUUUCCGUCGCCGGAAUAGGAUACGAGGCAUUACCAGAUUUUACUGAAUUUUUUUUAAUAUAACCCCUUUAUAAAUAUCAAAUCUUCCCUUCAAAUUUUAAAUCGAGACCAAUCCGACACAACCAAUCCAUUUCAAUAUAUUUUCAAGAUAGAUUUAUCAUAUUUAUAAGAUAAUCUCAUCACAUACCAAAACUAAAAUUUGUUAGCCAUACCAAUGGCUAACUAUACAUUCAUUUCACAUUAACAUCUACUUUACUAGCUUAUACAUGCCAUUGAUUUCCAAAAUAAAGUUUCUUUAUAUACCGAGAUCUUGAGGUUGAUAGUGUGAUGCGUCUCCGACCAAAUCCGACCUCUGAGCUCUUAACACUACAAAAUAGGGGAAAAGAAAACAGGGUAAGCACUUUGUGCUUAGUAAGCUCAUGUAACAAGAUUUAUACUUACCUAAUAUUUUCAAUACAAUACAAUAAACAUUCAUACAUCCAUUCAAUACAUUAUUCCCCUAUCAUGCACAAGCUCAACAUUCAAAUUAGUCCAAUAAUUUUCAUGUAUCAAUAAUUUAUACCAUGAUUGAUGAGCUCAUCAAUUCCAUGAUUCUCAUUUCCUUGUUAUUUUUCCAUAUUUAUCCCGUUGAAUUUCUUAAAAUUUCGAUGGAUUUUCAGAGGUACACUUUAGUGUACAAAUCCGGGUCCGUCAAUUCAUAUUCAUGUGCACACAUUUUCAUUUCAGAGAGCACACUCCCGCGAACCUCAUCCUUACAGCGGGAUUACCAGUCCAGGCUAAAUCUCCUGUAAGAUAAACUCAUAGAGUAUUGUCGGGAUUACCAGUCCAGGCUAAAUCCCCUGCAACGACAAUUACUCUAAUGAGCAUGGAUCUGAAUUACCAGUCCAGGCUAAAUUCAGACCCCAAUUCGGAUUACCCGUCCGGGCUAAAUCCAUUUUCCACAUAUUCUUCGGGAAGGCUAUAUCAGGAUAGGAUCACCCGUCCGGGCUAGAUCCUUUUUACCGUCAAUUCCUUUUCAGAGAUCCAUCAAAUUUUCCUUUCAUUCAACCGGGAUUUAUUUUCUCUUUUCAUCAAGAAUAUCAAUACUUCAUCAAUUAUCAUACAAUAAACAUCCAACUCAUUUUCACAUCAAUAACAAACAUUUCAAGCAUUUAAGAAUAUAAUUCAAGUUACACGAACUUACCUCGACACUUGUUCGUAACCAAAAAUCUACUAAUCCUGAACUUUUUAUUUUCCUCGAUCUUGCUUCAUAUUUGAAUUUUUCGAAUCUAAAUAAAUAAAUUUAAUCAUUAAUCUAAUACUUUUCAUGUUCAUAUGUAACAUUCUCUAUAAUUCCAUUAUUAUUUAUAAUGCAUUCAAAGCUGUCUCACUAGGUCACAGUCACUAAAUUAUUUAUAUCUUGAGCUACGGAACUCCAAAUUAAGAUCUUCUAAUUUUCCAUAAAACUAGACUCACAUAUCUUCUUAUCAUAAAAUUUUCAUAAUUUUUGGUUUAGCAAAUAAGUACAGUUUAUUCUUUAAAGUUUCCCCUGUUUCACUGUUCAAUAGUUCCAACCUCUCUUCACUAAAAAUUAAUUAUCUCAUAGUACAGAAUUCGGAUGAUGUUUCCAUUUGUUUCUUCUGAAAAUAGACUCAUUAAGGAUUCUAACCAUAUAAAUUAUAACUCAUAAUCAUUUUUGUACAAUUUUUAAUGAUUUUCAAAAGUCAGAACAGGGGAACCCGAAUUCAUUAUGACCUUGUCUUACAAAAUCUAUUAUAUCUCAUGAUUUACAAUUCCAUUGCUUACACUGUUUCUUUUAUAAGAAACUAGACUCAAUAAGAUUUAAUUUCAUAUUUUAUUCAUCCUCUAAUUAGAUCUCUACAAUUUUUGGUGAUUUUUCAAAGUUAGAGUACUGCUGCUGUCCAAAACUGUUUUAGUGUAUGAUGUUAAUUACCAUUUUUCCCUAAACUUUCAAUAAAUGAUAAUUUCAUCCGUGCUCAAUUAACCUCUCAAUUGAGCUGAUUUUUCUCAAUUAACAUUUUAUCCCAUCACUUUAGACUACUUUAUAACCUUUUUAAAUCAGAAUUUCAGCACUAGACUUUGAUUCCAAACAUUUUCACAAUUAGGUCCUACAAAUCAAUUUCUAUUGAAAUUACCUAAUAAAAUCAUCUCAUAAACAAAUUAAAGCUUCAAUUUCAUCCUAUUUCAUCAUAAACUUCCAGCACACAUUCAUAGCAACUUUCAAAUUCAUUCACAAAAUCAAAAACUAAUGAAUUUAGUAAUAGGACCUAGUUGUAAAAGUCUUAGAAACACAAAAAUUAUAAGAAAAAGGCAAGUAUUAACUCACUUGGUGCAAAAAUUAUGAAAAACCAACUUGAAGAAACCCUUAGGACGUUUUUGGCUGAUGGGAAUGUAGAAAAAUAAAGAGGAAUCUAGAUAAUUCCACUUUAGUCCUAACUUUUAAAGCAAAUUUUACAAUAUUCCAAUUUUACCCUUAAUUCUUCAAUUCUCCUGUAUGCCGCCCAAAAUAUCUCCUUUUGGGGUUAUUUUCAAUUUAUGUCCCUCUUCAUUUAACAAUUGAGCUAUUUAAUCCUUCUAGUAACUUUUACACCUUUUUCAAUUUAGUCAUUUUCACUUAAUUGACUACCCAAACAUUAAAAUUUUCUAACGAAAUUUUAAUGCCAUAUUACUAAUACUUCAUAAAUAUUUAUAAAAAUAUUUUUGAUUCGGUUUUACUAGAUCGAAUUCUCGAUACCUUGUUUUUACCCAAUUUCUUCUAUAAUUUCUUUUUCUAACUAACCACUAAAUCGGUAAAAUUUUUAUAUCGAUAUUUUCAUACGAUUCUCCUAUCAUACCAAUAUUCAUGCAAAAAUAUUAAAAUAAAUUUCUCUUUAAAUCGGAUUUGUGGUUACGAAACCACUAUUCCGAUAACCUUGAAUUUGGGCAAUUACAUACAAGCAUUAUAUACUUACUUCAUAACUAAAUCAUGCAAUUUAACAUUAACAAACAAGAAUUAAAUUGAAUCGGAUCACAGAAAUACAAACCAGAAUUGCGAGCUACUCGUCGAUGACUUUGGAUUUUUCCUUUCCCUCUCGAUGGAUUUGGGUCAAUGUUAGCUACGAAUAAUCACAAAACAUACAGUACUAUCAAUUUCCGACCAAUUCACAAUCAAUCACUGAUUCAUACAAGUUUUACAAUUUAUUCAAUUUAGUCCCUAAAUAUGGGAGAAGCAAAACUUUCAAUUUAAACCCUCGGAUUAAAAUCCAAUUUCCCAAUUUAUCAUUAAGGACCUCCUAUUUCUUAUUUCUUAUUUCUACUAUCAAUUUUACAUUUUAUUCGAUUUAGUGUUUUUUACAAAACUAAGGAUUGAACUUUAUAAUCUAAUCCUUUUUCACAUCUAAGCUUAAAAUCUAUCAAUUUAACAUCAAAAUUCUCAAGAAAUAAACAAUGGUAACUUCCAAAAACUUUAAUAAUUUUAUAAAUUGAUACAUGAACUAGCUAAAUCAAGCUCCCAUGACCUCAAAAACAUAAAAGUUACAAGAAAAAAAGACUUAAAUUACCUAUCCAAAUUUUGACUGCAUGCUUGGAACCCUAGCUUGGUUUUUCUCCUUUGUUUCUUUGUAGAUUCGGUGAUGAAGGAGAAAAAAAUAAAGAUGACAAGCUUUAAAGUUAUCUUUUAGACUUUGAUUUAUGUUGACUACUCUUAUUUUAAUUAAUUAAAACAUAGUUUACUUAAUUAACCAAGCCAUUAAUCUAACAUCGUGGAUUUCACCAUCUUUUUCCACUAUCUACUAAUAGCAAUUGGUUUAAGUAUCAAUUUGAUCCUUUGGCUAAUUAAAAAUCUAUAGCGAUAAAGUUUUACAAUUUAGUUUUUAUAUCUUAAUUAAUUAUCAAUUCAUCAAAAUUAAAGGACCAAACUUUAAUAAAAUUUAAUACUAGCCUCGUAAAUAUUAAUUAUUAAUGUUUAUAGGCUCGAUUUAGAGAAAUAAAAUUUUGAAACCGCCAUUUCUGACACUACUAACUUUUGGAUCAUUACAUUAAAAGUAAGGAAACAUUCAUGUAAAAUUUUGGAAAAACUUCAAAGUUGUUUUGAAAUAAUGAAUAACGAGAAAAAAAGAAGAAGAUAAAUUUCAAAAUUUAUAGUAAAUUUGGAGACAAAAAGACUUAUUGGGCAAAUAAUGAAGCCAUGGUUUCAAAAUUCUAAAACAUUUAAAACCCUGGAGGACUAAACUUAUAAGUUUAAAAACGAAAACCUUUGAAAAUUAUCUUAAAAACAUGGAGGGUCAAAAGCUACAAUUAAUUAUGCUGAAAUGUCAAAAUUUAAAAUAGAUAUAAAAUCGGAAGGGCCUAGGUUGUAAUUAAAAUAGGUGGAAGGCCUUAUAAAAAUAAUAGGAAAACACUAAUUAAGGGACUUAUCUUGCAAUUUCUUUGUGUAUAAAAGUACCACAAAACCCUUUGAACUAUACAUUGGAUUGCAUUUAAACCUUUCUAUUGAAAAAAAAGGGCAAAUUAUCCCAUGUACAUUGGAUGAGUGAGCAAAAUAGCUCAUCCGUUUUAGUUUGGUGUUUGUAUAUAAUGUAUAAUAACAAAUUUAGCUCUCAAUCUUUACACAUUUAUUCAAAUUGACAUCUAUUCUUUCAUUGGAAGCAAAUUAAAAAUUUUUGAAAUUAAAAAUUUUUUAAUUUUAGGAAUUUUAGAAAUUAGUAACAAAUUAAAAAAAAUCAAUUUAAAAUUUUAAAAAAUCAUAAAAAUUAUAAAAAAUUUAUUAAAGAAUUACAAUAUCGACCUAAUAAGAGAGUAGGGGUCAAAUUUUUCAAAAUAUUUAACCAUUAGACUUUAAUUGUAUGUAUUGUUAUUUUUAAUAAAAAAAAUUAUAAUUUUAAUGAGCUACCCUUUUAUUUAUAUUUUAAUGAAAUAACACAACUAUCUGAUCAAUAUGUUAAACUUUUCUAAAUAAUAAAAUAUUAUACCUACUAAUAUUUUAAAUUACAAAUAAUUUCUAACCCAUGAAAAUCCAAACGUAAAUCAAAUGAAAGGAAUUCGGUUACCAGGUCGAAACAUAAAUCUACUAUACAUAUAUAACUUCAUUACGUUAAUAAUUUAUGGGAUUUCGCAUAAUGUCUUUGCUUUUCGUUCCAUGGCCAUGCAUCAUACUUCAAUCCAAAUGCUUAUGAAAUGUGCCUGCAGGUCUCAUUUGUUUCACUGAAAGAAGGAUCAAGAAACCUUAUUAUUAUAUUCAGCUUUUCAUAUUUUCAUAGUUUUUCAUUAUUUAAAAGUUUUUUUUUAGAAAUGGGAUAAAUUAAUAGAAUCUGGACUAAAUUUUCUAUUAUGCAAAUAAUCGAUUAAUGAUUGAACGAAAAAAAAGAAGCAUACAGCACAAUACUGAAUAUUACUAGCUAAAACGUAAGAUCUCACCAAAACUAAGGUUGGUUCCUGUAAUUAAAUCUUUUUUCGGAACAAUUGAAUAUAAAUUUGAGAAUGCAUGAAAAAAUUAAGUUUCUAAAAUUAUAAUAAAGAGAUUCAAUUUUGGAUUUGGAUAAACAAAAUCAAUUCUAUUUGGAUAAUUUAUUACAAAAUUUGCACUAACUUUCAUUUAGUCGUAACUUUAUUGAUAAAUUUUGUUAGCUAUGUAAUAGAAAAGCAAACUCAGAAUAUGUAGCUUAUGUUUAACUUGGUCCUACUUAUCUGCUCAGUGCUCACUGUAUAAGAAUUGGUUCCGUAUAUAUGAACUUCAAAGGCUGUGAAUUUCUAUGAUUAGAGAUUUUCGUCAAGUAUGGGAGCUGGUAGGAGAAUCUUGGGAGGUUUCAAUUUAGCAAUCCUGAUGGUGAUGAUGCUAUUGAGCACCAACCGACACUGUGCGGCCGACGCGGUUAAGAAGAAUAAGAGCAUGAGCAGCCGCUGGUGCGAUGAUUCUUCAAAUAAGGAGUGCCUGCAGCUUUCGGACGACAUAGAAACGAUGGAGUUGUUGAUGGAUUCAGAAGCAAGCAAAAUGGUAUUUGAAGCAAGUGCAGCUAUCGACUUCGCCAGCAGUAAAAAUCCAACUACCAGAGCCCUUGACCCUUCUCCAGCUGCCUGCGACCGUAAUACUGGCAAGUCUUGCGAACCUGAUAGUAAUCCAGGCACAAAGGUACCUCCAAAUUGUUCACUAUACACCAGAGCUGGUUGCCACUGAUUUACUACUUUUUCUUGCUAUGCUGGUAUAUUGUGUUUCAAUUUAUCAAGAUAUAUAUGUGUGUGUAUAUAAGGAUGAGGAGAAACAUCUCUUUCAAUAUAUGCAUAAAUAUUUCUGGUUUCAUUAAUCUCUUUUCAUAAUUUGUAGUAUAUGUGACAAGCAGGUACUCUCAUCAAAUUCUAAUGUGUGGGCUCUUGGGAACAAUGCCUUGUAUAUUUUCUUCCUAUGCUAUAAGUUUCACCUUUGUAGAUUGUUUUGUAAUUUACUUUACCUAUUAACAAGAGGCAACACAUGAUUUGUCAGACCUACGAGGGUCAAAAAUGACAUUCUACAGCCUAAGAUUGAAGUAUUUGCUUACCCUACACAUUUCCCAAAAAAACAAAACCAGAACUGCAAAUCCGAACUUUACUAUCUCACCAUUUCACACCCUCUCAAUAACUGUUUAAAUAAAUAAAUAUUAAGAUAUCUUUAACUUUUAAUUUUAAAAUUUAAAUUAUUAAAAUCUAUUUAUAAUAGUUACAAUGUUUAGACGAAUUAUUAGUAUUUAUUUAAAAGUUUUUCAUAUUUUUUUUAUUUUAUUUAAUGAUGAUAUGUCAUGUUAUUAUUCACUUAUAAUCAAUAACGAAGUGAAGAGGCUAGCAGUGGCCCAGACCCCCUUAAAAUGGAAAAAAUUUAUUUAGACUCAUUUAUAAUUUAUUAAAAUUUAAAUUAAUAAUAGUAAAAUUACACUUUGAUCCCAAAAUGAUAAAAAUUUGUAAUUAAGUUUCAACUUUCUGCUUAUUAAUUACAACAUUAUUUAGUCACGAAUUCAUUUCACUAAAGUAUAGUGAUUGAGCUUUCCCUUAUUAUAUAUCAUUACAAAAGCACUCAUUGAGUGCUCGUCCAAUGUCCCUGUUGUAAGUGUGUUAUUCUUAUAGUAUAUUCUUAAUCUUUUUAGGAUAAAUUUGUUCUCCCAAUAUAAUAUUAAUUUAUCUCAUUAUAAUCAUUAUAUAUUCCUUCUUGGAAAAUCAGUUACUAAUAAAUAGUAAUUAAAUCAUUUAUCACCAACACAAAUGAUAUGUGGUCACAUUACUUUUCAUUUAUUAUGUGAUGCUAAUGAGAGGAUAUCAUUUACCUUUUAAUUGAGUUAUGAAUUCCGUUGUUGUGAAUGACGCUACAUAUUGCAAAAGUCGUAUACCCAACGCACCAGCUUUCAAUUCUUUAUCUAUUUGGAUUCAAUCUUUCAUUUGCAUCAAAGUAUACAAGUUACACAUACAUAAUCCAUCAUCAACUCAUGAUUAAAUAUGUCACACUAUGAAAGUCACAGGUGAAUGGAUCCAUAAAGAUCUAGGAUCUAUUCUACAUGGGUUUUGUCCGAUGUACCAUCAGCUUAGUCCAUCUCAUCUAUAUCUCUAUUUUCUGGAAGUCAUCCGUUUUGAUACCCAAGAUAAUGUAUCUCCCCAAUUGAACUUGAUAGACGAUAUAUUAAUCUUUCAAUCGAUUUAUUCAAUUCUGAUUAGACUAAAUGCGUGUUUAGAUUAUUUACUAAUAUAAAUUGUAUUUUCGUAUUAUAGUCUAAUCGCAUAAUAUCACUUAGUAUUAGUUAAACGAUAAAUAAUCAGUGAGUCAAUAUUUACUUUCAAUUUAUUUUGUGAGAAAAAAACAGUUAAGGACAAUAUACAAGUAUAUUAAUGAAACUGAUAUAUAUUUUAUUAAAUCAAUUCGUUCAAAAAAAUAUAAAUACAUAUAGACAAAAAUACUACACUAAGGGCAUUAGAUUCCAACAGAGUUGCUACAGGGAGUAUGUGAAAGAUUAAGAUCCAUUCCAUUAUCUGUUCAUUCAUUAAUAUCUAAUAUAAUGACCAUUAUCUUUUAAAUGUGUAAGGCACAUUUAUUAAAUGUAAAAAUCAACUUAUGAAUGGUGAUUAAACAUAUAUUUGAUAUAUAUGAAUGAAAAAGUAAUAAACUGGAGCCAAACCCAUAUGUGAAAGACGUGUACAAUAAAACUCAUUUUGUUAUGGCAGUACGAAGCUAAAGUGAAAUCUAAUAUCCUUUAAAAGUAUGUUCACAUAUGAGGAAUAUUCACUAAUAAGUUGUUAAAGAUGUUUGCCAAGAAUGUGAACUAUCCAUAGAAGUGAGAAAUCCAUGUCUUUCAAAAGAAAGUGAGCGAUCCAACUCCGUUGCUGAGAAUGAGGACCGGAUGGGUUGUGUUCCAUGUCAUAUGACAUAAUUUAUUGUCAUUUGCCAUUAUUUUAUUUUUGUCUUGAAUAGCAGUGUGUUUAAUUUUGUCUCUUCUACAGUAUUAAUAGAAAAAUGUGUCUUCUAUAAUGUAUUAUUAUGGUUGGAAUUUGGAGUCAUUUACCUUACAUUUUCAAAAGAAUAUAUACUUCUUUUGCUAGCUGUGCCUAUUACAAUUUUUUCUAAUCUAUUUAACUACCUAUACUACUAUAUAUAUCAAAGGAACCUGUCUAUACUUGACAACAUAACGAAGAAUGAUCAAAAUUUGAUAUACUUUAAUUUUGACAUAAUUUAAUAACUUAAUUUUUAUAAUAUCAUUAUAUAGCAUGUUAAAAUUCUUUAUUAAAUCUAGAUUCGUUACAAUAUUAUUUUUUGUUGCAUUGAUACCACAUAAUUUUUUUUAUUUCAAAAUAUUACACUAACAAAUUUAACAAAAAAAAUUUUAAUAAUGUCAACAAAUGUGCCUAAAUUUUUAAUUUUAAAAAGUAAAGAGACGGAAUUGCUGAAAAUAAAAAUAUGGAGAUUAACUUCAAAAUAUACAAAAAGUAAAAGAACUUUGAACAAAUUAUAACUUUUAUAUUUUUACUCUAUAAUUUAGUCAAGAAAUAAAGAAUUAACCCAACGCGAAGCUUAAGUGAAGAUCAUACUAGUAUAUAAAUAGAAGGACAAAAAGGAUUCUUCUCUUGACACAUGGCAUUUAGUUUCCAGGAAAAAGUCAAAUCUGAUUUUUUUUAUCCUUCUACUAUGCCUAAAUUAAAAUUUAGUCUCUAUACUUUUAUUUCUAACAUAAUUUGGCCCUAUAUUUUUUUAAUAUUAUUAGUUAUCCAAAUAGUUAAUAUUGUAUAAAUAGUUGGAUUAAAUUGUUGAUAUGAUUUUUUCUUAAAAAAUAUUAUUCUAACAAUUGUUUUAGCAUAAUUAAUUGGAAUAAGUAUUUUUUUUUAAAAACUUAUGUCAUCUACUCAAACAAUUAAGGGUGCUAAUUAUUUGAACUAACAAAUGACACAACUCCUUUCCCCCUUUUUUGUCGUUAUAAGAUAAUGGUAAAAUUAUAGUUUUGAUCCCCUAUUAUGCUCACCUUUGGAUUUAGUUUUUAUAUUUUAAAUUGAUAGAAUUUGGUUCUCUACUUUUACCAUGACAUUCAUUAGUCCAAAUAGUUAACAUUCUUGACUAUUUCAGUUAAAAUGAUGAUAUGAAUUUCUUUUAAAAAUCUUUCUAACACAAAAGAAAAAGAUGUUUUGGCAUGAUAAAUUAGGACGAGUAUUUUUUAGAAAAAAAUUGACUUCAAUAUUUUAACCAAAAUAAUUAAGUGCGCCAAUUAUUUCCAAAUAUUAUGUAGAUGAAUUUUAUGUCAACUUAAAGUAUAAAUACUAAAUCCUAAAUUUAAAAAUAGUAGAGGGAUCAUAAUCAUAACUUGAUCUAAAAUAAUAUAUAUCUAAUACAAUCAUUUGUCAAUUAAUUUAUUAAAAAGUUUUUAAAAUAUUGUUUUUAAUUAAUUUAGGUUAUGUUUGAUAAAUUGACAAAUUAAGUACCGAAAAAUUAAGUGUUGAAUUUAAGUUAUAAAAUAUGUCUGGUGUAUUACUUAAAAUUAAAUAUUGAUUAUAAUUAGAUUAUUUGAUAAAUGAUAAUAUAAUCUUAAUGAAAUAGAAUAAAAUCAAAAUAAUUGAAUUUAUUCUCUAUUAGGUGAUAAGUAGGUCCCCUAUUAUUUUCCAUAAUUUUUUGUGGAAAAAUUACUACCCAAUAAAUUUCAUCGUGGGUUAUCAGACAUACUUAAAAAAGUUAAAUUGCUAAAAAUAUUAAUUGAAUUUUUGCAAAAAUUAAAAAAAUCACGUGAAAGAAUAAUAAUUAUAAAAAUUUAAAAUGAAUUUGAAAUUAGAUCUCCUAAACAUUGUCAUGGAGAAAGUUAUAAUAGAAAAUUGUAUUGUUUUAUUUUAAAAAAUUAUUGGGCAAAUUUCACUGUUAGUCACUCUAAAUAGGGAUCAUUUUUAUUUUGGUCUCUCCACUUUUUUUUGUUAACUUAGUCACCCGAAAAAAAAUUUGAUCAAAUUAGUCAUUUCACCGUUAAAUGAUAAUUGAUUAUGUUAUAUAAUUAAAAUAACUUAUUUUGUUUUUAUUUUUAAAUAUAGUUUUCUCUUUUACUUCUUCCCAUCUUUUCUAAAAUAACAAAAGAAUAGUACCAACAUAAUUAACGAAACAGUUCCUGAACAAAUAAUUAUAGAUAAAACUACUGCGAAAUCCCUCUAUUAGAAUGAUCGGAUUAAAUUAAUCUCUAUACUAUUAAAUAGUUCAAUUCAAUCACUGUACUAUUAAAAAUAAUCAAAUAAAAUUUAACUAGAACAAAGUAAAUAUUUUUAAAUAGUAAACAUUAACUCUAUUGAAAUUUAACCUUAUUUAAUAGCAUGAAAUUUAAUAUUAUUUAAUUUUUUAAAUAGCACAUAAACUAAAUUGAUCUAAUAAAUACUAGAAGGACUAAUUUAAUUUAAUCGAAACCUGCGAAAUACAUUCACCAAUAAUUAUAUUAUAUGUCCAAUUAAAAAAUGUGUGCUAGAAUGUGGCCUGAAUCUUGGUUGGUGUUUAUAUUCGUUUUGAGUUAAAAUUAUAAAAAUUAACUCCACUCUUUUCAUUCCUACUUCAGAAUAAUUAAGAAACAACUAGAUAGGGAAUAAAAAUAGUAAAAUACAGAAAUUAUCUACACCCGUGAUCAAUUAUUGAAUGCACCAGUAGACAAUAUUUAUUUUUCAUUUAUAUAUAAAAUAUUGUAUAUUAUGGUCGGUGGGUUAGAAUUGGUUCUACAUAUAUUAAGAUAAAGAGUGUCGUGGGAGAUACAUAGCAGGAGAAUGAUGGGAGGUAUGAGUUUAGCAAUGCGGGUGCUGAUGAUAAUGGUAAUGCUAGUGAGCACCAAUCAAUACUGUGCGGCGGACGCGGUUACGAAGACUAAGAGCAUGAGCAGCCGCUGGUGCGAUGAUUCUUCAAAUAAGGAGUGCCUGCAGCUUUCGGACGACAUAGAAACCAUGGAGUUGUUGAUGGAUUCAGAAGCAAGCAAAAUGGUAUUUGAAGCAAGUGCAGCAACCAACUUCGCCAACAGUAAAAAUCCAACUACCAGAGCCCUUGACCCUACUCAAGCUGUCUGCGGCCGUAAUACUGGCAAGUCUUGCGAACCUGAUAGUAAUCCAGGCACAAAGGUACCUCCAAAUUGUUCACUAUACACCAGAGCUGGUUGCCACUGAUGUACUACUUUUUCUUGCUAUGCUGGUAUAUUGUGUUUCAAUUUAUCAAGAUAUAUAUUUAUGAAUAAGGAUGAUGGAGAAACAUCUCUUUCAAUAUAUGCAUAAAUAUUUCUGGUUUCAUUAAUCUCUUUUCAUAAUUUGUAGUAUAUGUGACAAGCAGGAGUACUCUCAUCAAAUUCUCAUGUAUAGGCUCUUGGGAACAAUGCCUUGUAUAUUUUUCUUCCUAUGCUAUAAGUUCCACCUUUGUAGAUUGUUUUGUAAUUUACUUUACCUAUUAACAAGAGGCAACACAUGAUCUGUCAGACCUACGAGGGUCAGAAAUGACAUUCUACAGCCUAAGAUUGAAGUAUAAUGAGAUAACCUCCAUUCUUGCUUACCCUACACAUUUCUCAAUAAAACAAAACCAGAACUGCGAAUCCAAUCCUAACUGUACUGUCUCACCAUUUCACACUCUC